ensembl:lncRNA
AUUCAUUACCCUUUUCUAUUCCCCGUGCAGACAAAUCAAUCCUCCGUGUGCACCUUCACACAAAGCAGGCCCUAUUGACUUUCAUGACUGAAUCUUUCAUCUUUCCCCUGUUUGUUUGUUUGCCCGUCUGUGAGCAAGGUCUUUAUAUUGUGUAACAGAAAUACCUUGUGGAAUAGAGGUGAAACUUACAUGGGCUUUUGAAUCAGGGGCAUUUCACACAAACACUCCAUUAUCUUAUUUUUUAAAGGUGACGUUAGCAUUACUGAUUAUCUUAUUUAUUUAUUUAAAGGUGACGUUAGCAUUACUGAUUAUCUUAUUUAUUUAAAGGUGACGGUAGCAUUACUGAUUAUCUUAUUUAUUUAAAGGUGACGUUAGCAUUACUGAUUAUCUUAUUUAUUUAAAGGUGACGUUAGCAUUACUGAUGAUCUUAUUUAUUUAUUUAAAGGUGACGGUAGCAUUACUGAUUAUCUUAUUUAUUUAUUUAAAGGUGACGUUAGCAUUACUGAUUAUCUUAUUUAUUUUUUAAAGGUGACGUUAGCAUUACUGAUUAUCUUUUUUUUUUUUUUUAAAGGUGACGGUAGCAUUACUGAUUAUCUUAUUUAUUUAUUUAAAGGUGACGUUAGCAUUACUGAUUAUCUUUUUUUUUUUUUAAAGGUGACUGUAGCAUUACUGAUUAUCUUUUUUUUUUUUUUAAGGUGACGUUAGCAUUACUGAUUAUCUUUUUUUUUUUUUUUAAAGGUGACGUUAGCAUUACUGAUUAUCUUAUUUAUUUAUUUAAAGGUGACGUUAGCAUUACUGAUUAUCUUAUUUAUUUAUUUAUUUAAAGGUGACGUUAGCAUUACUGAUUAUCUUAUUUAUUUAUUUAUUUAAAGGUGACGUUAGCAUUACUGAUUAUCUUAUUUAUUUAAAGGUGACGUUAGCAUUACUGAUUAUCUUAUUUAUUUAUUAUUUUAAAGGUGACGUUAGCAUUACUGAUUAUCUUAUUUUUUUUAAAGGUGACGUUAGCAUUACUGAUUAUCUUAUUUAUUUAUUUAAAGGUGACGUUAGCAUUACUGAUUAUCUUAUUUAUUUAUUAUUUUAAAGGUGACGUUAGCAUUACUGAUUAUCUUAUUUUUUUUAAAGGUGACGUUAGCAUUACUGAUUAUCUUAUUUAUUUAUUUAAAGGUGACGUUAGCAUCACUGACGUCACCGUUGCUCCCGGGCCGAUAGUCUGAAAACAUUGUGCCGUCUGACGUUAAGACUAUAUAUUGACAAGCCCUGUAAUCCAUUUGGAAAUAUAAUGAAAUUGAACCCACACAUGUACUGACAUGCUGAUUAACUUCUUGUCUGGUCACAGUAUUCAUUGAAUGAGGCAUAUCUACACUGAACGAGGCAUAUAUCUACACUGAACGAGGCAUAUAUCUGCACUGUGAAUGAGGCAUAUAUCUACACUGAACGAGGCAUAUAUCUGCACUGUGAAUGAGGCAUAUAUCUACACUGUGAACGAGGCAUAUAUCUACACUGAACGAG